UACGUAGGGGGCAAGCGUUGUCCGGAAUCAUUGGGCGUAAAGCGCGCGCAGGCGGCCCGGUAAGUCGGAUGUGAAAUCUCACGGCUCAACCGUGAAACUGCAUUCGAUACUGUCGGGCUAGAGGCAGGUAGGGGAGAUCGGAAUUCCUGGUGUAGCGGUGAAAUGCGCAGAUAUCAGGAGGAACACCGGUGGCGAAGGCGGAUCUCUGGGCCUUACCUGACGCUGAGGAGCGAAAGCCAGGGGAGCAAACGGG
rnacentral:rRNA from 1 species